rnacentral:misc_RNA from 1 species
UUUCCGUAGGUGAACCUGCGGAAGGAUCAUUAUUGAAUAAACUUGGUUGGGUUGUUGCUGGCUCCUCGGAGCAUGUGCAUGCUCGCUCCAUUUUUAACCACCUGUGCACCUUGUGUAGAUCUGAACAACUCUCGGGGAAACUCGGUCAGAGGAUUGCUGUGUGUAAAAGCCAGCUUUUCUUGGGUUCAGAUCUAUGUCUCUAUAUACACCAUAAGAAUGUAUUGGAACGUAAUUGACAGGCGUUACAGCCUUUAAAAAUCAAAUACAACUUUCAACAACGGAUCUCUUGGCUCUC